CAGUAGCCGCGGUAAUACGAAGGGUGCAAGCGUUAAUCGGAAUUACUGGGCGUAAAGCGUGCGUAGGCGGUUUGUUAAGUCUGUUGUGAAAUCCCCGGGCUCAACCUGGGAAUGGCAAUGGAUACUGGCAAGCUAGAGUGUGUCAGAGGAUGGUGGAAUUCCCGGUGUAGCGGUGAAAUGCGUAGAGAUCGGGAGGAACGUCAGUGGCGAAGGCGGCCAUCUGGGACAACACUGACGCUGAGGCACGAAAGCGUGGGGAGCAAACAGGAUUAGAUACCCCGGUAGUCCCUGUCUCUUAUAC
rnacentral:rRNA from 1 species